UACGGGGGGAGCUAGUGUUGUUCGGAUUAACUGGGCGUAAAGGGCGCGUAGGCGGUUAUGUAAGUUAUGAGUGAAAUCCUAAGGCUUAACCUUAGAACUGCUUGUAAAACUGCAUAACUAGAGUAUGGUAGGGGGUAAUAGAAUUCCUAGUGUAGAGAUGAAAUUCUUAGAUAUUAGGAGGAAUACCGAUGGCGAAAGCGAUUACCUGGGCCAUUACUGACGCUAAGGCGCGAAAGCGUAGGGAGCAAACAGG
rnacentral:rRNA from 1 species